AUGCCACCGGAGGAGGAGGAGCAGCAGCACUUAACCGGUGCAUGUUACCCCCAGGCGAGUUAUCAUCCAUGCUGGCCCCUCCUGAAAAGGAUGGUGAUCAAGGCUCGCUGCUGCUGGAGGUUCCUCGCAAUGCGCUGCACCCGGAGGCAGAGCUUCUUCUCAGCUGCCCCACAUCAUACCGAUAACCGGUGGGCGGGCAUCCGCCAACUCGGUGAAUUUUGUUUCGUUUUGUGUAGCAUAUAUAUGGCUGGAGAAAUGGCAACUUGUAUUAUAGCUCUGCUGUGUGUAUGGGGAAUGGAUGAAGUACUAGUCUGCAAUGCAAUACAAGUACUUGCUGGACAGGUUUUCCUCUCAUGUUUAAUUAGUUAA
rnacentral:rRNA from 1 species